GAGUUUGAUCUUGCUCAGAUUGAACGCUGGCGGCAGGCCUAACACAUGCAAGUCGGGCGGUAGAGAGAAGCUUGCUUCUCUUGAGAGCGGCGGACGGGUGAGUAAUGCCUAGGAAUCUGCCUGGUAGUGGGGGAUAACGCUCGGAAACGGACGCUAAUACCGCAUACGUCCUACGGGAGAAAGCAGGGGACCUUCGGGCCUUGCGCUAUCAGAUGAGCCUAGGUCGGAUUAGCUAGUUGGUGAGGUAAUGGCUCACCAAGGCGACGAUCCGUAACUGGUCUGAGAGGAUGAUCAGUCACACUGGAACUGAGACACGGUCCAGACUCCUACGGGAGGCAGCAGUGGGGAAUAUUGGACAAUGGGCGAAAGCCUGAUCCAGCCAUGCCGCGUGUGUGAAGAAGGUCUUCGGAUUGUAAAGCACUUUAAGUUGGGAGGAAGGGCAGUAAAUUAAUACUUUGCUGUUUUGACGUUACCGACAGAGUAAGCACCGGCUAACUCUGUGCCAGCCGCCG
rnacentral:rRNA from 1 species